UAUCAAAAAGCAGACAACGUUAAAUUGCGUUCUGUUUUUGAACAUCAAAGAAUAUUGAAAAUUGAAUUGCCAGAGGUAACUAUAACGAAGCUUGUGUAGAAAUGGAGUUCAAACAAUAUAUUCUGACUGCAGCAGUGCUUGGAUUUAUGCAGAAGAUGACGCGUACAAAAGCUUCCAGCUGCUCAACUAAAGAUAUAUCAUGGAAAUACAAAGUUGUGAUAGGCCGACCUUUUCGUUAUCACGGUGAAUGGAUUUUAGCAAAUUGCACUGUAAAUAGUGCAAACGAGACAAGACUUAAAUUUGAAAACAAAACUCAAGUUGUUGACGGAAAGAAGAUUAAAAUGGCAGCCAAAAAUGUUUUCAAUAUAACUAAUUUGAAUAA